rnacentral:snRNA from 1 species
GUCCAAUAAAAGAUAUAGACUAAAACUGGAAUGAUACCGAGAAGAUUAGCAUGGCCCCUGCACAAGGAGGACACACACAUUUGUGAAGUGUUAUCACCGUGU